rnacentral:misc_RNA from 1 species
AACACUGUUAACCUGCGGUACCUGCGGAAGGAUCAUUACCGAGUCUUCGUACUCAAAACAACCCUUCUGUGGACCUGAAUAAAACCGUUGCCUCGGCAGGCGGCCCUACCUACGGGCCAGAUAGUUCGGCUGCCUCCAGGGAGGAAACCCUCCCUGAGGUGCUGGCGCCAGCCGCUGGCCCCAAACCAAAACUCUAGUAACUUUUACCUUCUGAGUUUUAAUGCAAGAAAUAAGUCAAAA